rnacentral:rRNA from 1 species
AUGCUAGAAUUUCUGAAUCUAUCACAUAAUCAGUUCGGUGGCACCAUUCCAUCCUCCUUUGCAAGCAUGGUGAGCCUUUCAACGCUUGACGUGUCAUACAAUGACUUGGAAGGACCAGUCCCAACACUCAGGCAACUCCAAAAUGCUUCAGCAAAUUGGUUUCUUCCCAAUAAAGGUCUGUGUGGUAACCUCUCUGGCCUACAACUUUGUGAUUCAACUCCAGUUCCAGCCGGUCACCACAAACGGAAGAUACUUGGUUUGCUUUUGCCAAUUGUUCUUGUGGUGGGUUUUGGCAUUUUUUCUGCAACUGUUGUCAUAAUAGUGCUUAGUCGUAACAAGACAAAACCACAAGAAGUUGUUACUGCUGAAGGAAGGGACCUAUUCUCUGUUUGGAAUUUCGACGGAAGAUUAGCAUUUGACGAUAUCGUAAGGGCAACGGAAGACUUUGAUGAUAAGUACAUCAUUGGAACAGGAGGAUACGGCAAUGUCUACAAGGCACAACUCCAAGACAGUCAGCUAGUUGCUGUGAAGAAGCUUCAUCAGACAGAAGAAGAGUUGGAUGACGAAAGAAGGUUUCGCAGUGAAAUGGAAAUCUUAUUACAGAUCCGCCAACGAAGCAUUGUCAAAAUGACGUUGGAAAAUGAGGAGCUAGCAAAGGAAUUGGAUUGGCAGAAGAGAAUUGUUGCUGUAAAUGAUGUGGCUCAAGCAGUAUCUUAUUUGCACCACGAAUGCAGUCCACCUAUAAUCCAUCGAGAUAUAACGAGCAACAACAUCUUACUUGAUGCAACCUUCAAGGCUUUCGUCUCAGAUUUCGGCACAGCAAGGAUUCUUAAGCCUGAUUCAUCAAACUGGAGUGCACUAGCAGGGACGUAUGGGUACAUAGCUCCUGAACUCUCGUGCACAUCUGUUGUGACGGAGAAAUGUGAUGUCUAUAGCUUCGGUGUGGUUGUGCUAGAGCUAGUGAUGGGGAAGCAUCCAAGGGAUCUAUUAGACGGUAGUUUGUUGAGCGGGGAACAAGCUAUGCUAGUAAAAGAUAUUCUAGACCAACGGCCGACAACACCAACAACAACAGAAGAGAAUAGCUUAGCUCUCCUCAUCAAGAUGGCCUUUUCUUGCUUGGAAUCCUCUCCACAAGCAAGGCCAACCAUGCGAGAGGCAUACCAAACACUCAUCCAGCGACCCACUUCCAGUUCCUACCCCGUGCCUUUCAGCGCACUUACAUUACAGCAAGGGAGUGAUGCAUGUUGA